CAAAAAAAAAAAAAAAAGCCUAAAAUAGUGAACCUGCAUCAUGAAAUGGCCCCAAAAUCAAAGGAGAAUGCAAACUCUAUGGAGGGAUUUGGGGGGUUUUCUUUACUGCUGUAUUCCCAAUGCCUAGAAUGUCUGGCAUACAGUAGGUGCUUAAAAAUAUGAUUUUGAAUGAAUGAAUGAGAAGCUCCUGCUAUAAGUGCUGGGGUUAGCAUUACACAGGAAGCUUACGUCUUACUACCUUUGAAAAAUCUUUAGCAUCACCUCUGUUGAAAUUGUAGAUGAGAAAACACAGCAUUCAGCCUCUGCAAGGGAAGAAAAAACUGCCUCAGGAAGCCUUCCCUCCCCUACUAGCCCCAAUCAAGUCUUCAGAUGAGACUGUAGCCCAGCCAAUACCUUGUUUGCAACCAAAGAGGGAUCCCCUCUCUUUCAGGAGAGACCUUGAGUGUCUCUUGUAAUGCCUGUAUUGGACGUUUUUCAUCUUUUUUGAUGCUGAGGAUUUGAAACCCCUUGAUAAGUCUGAAGAAUUUCUUGCCAUAUGGAACUGUGUGGGAGGGAGAGUCUGUUUUCUGCCAUAGUAACUGAAAUAACCAAAUGCUUGUUUUCCAUAGCAGAGACUGUUAGCUGACCAAUAACCCCACUUUCUUUUUUUUCCUCCCUGAGGCACACAGCCAGGUUACAGCCUCCCUUGCAGUUGGGCCAUGUGACUGAAUUCUAACCAAUGGCAUAGAGCCACCUUUGGGCCUGGCCAAUAAAACCUCCCAUGCAUGGCCAUCUUUCUCGCAUUUUCUGGAUGUCUCUACCCUGGGCAGCCUUAGGAGCCAUACAUUGAAGAUGAUCCCUUACAUCUCUGUAAGAUGGCAUAGAUUUGAGGGAUUCCCCUACCCCAUGGCUGGGCAUUCUGUGAGAUUCUCAGCCAGGAUCAAUUUCUGUUGCUUGCAACAAAGAACCCAGACUUAUACACUGUCAGUACAAAGCAUCUGUCUAUAAAGAAGUUAUUUUACAGGUAAAUUCAAUUGUUAGCCCAGAAUAUGGUGAUCACUGUAGCUGGUCAUAGUUUACCCAGCCCUUAUGGAAAUUGUUAAUACAACGCCAUUGGCUGUUAGCUGUGACGUGUGGCCUGGAAUUAAUUCUGACUUUGAAAAGCCUGUUUACAAGGAUAACAGGCCAUACGUCAACUACUUUAGACUGGCUCCCUGGAGAAGAGGAGGGAAGUAGAGAUGCGGGAAGAAGGAGAAAAGUCAAAUAAUAAUCAAAAGGGGAAAAAUCUAAUUUUAACAAUAUACAAAUGCAUAGUUCCUACUGUUCAUCAGUCAUAUAUCCAAGUAUUUUUUUUUUGCAAUAACCAUUUUACCCUUACAACAGGCUUGCAGUGGUAGGCACCAUUGCUAACCCUAGUUAACAUAGAGAUGCCGCUAAGGCCAUAUGGCUGCUAAGUGGUAGAGCCAGGGUUUCAGCGAAGCAGUUCUUAGUCACGGCCGCGCUGACAAGUAAGAACCAAGGAAUCUGACUAACUCAACUUUCUCUGCCCUCGAAGCACAAUCAAGACAACUAAAAACAACUAAGAAAAUAAAAUAAAAGCAGUCAUGCUUGGCAGGGCACUUGACAUAAUUUGAGUAAGGCACUUAAUUUUCCCUCCAAUAGCACCGAGAAUCUUGAUUUCAUAGGUCAUGUCAGGUAAAGAACUUGAUUGUGGGAGCUUCUUAAAAUGGCCUGAGGCGUUCCGGCUGCCUGACCAAUCUGGCUGCAGCCUGAGGCUCUGCCUCAGUUAUCUGCAGUACCCAGGUUGUCAGAGCCAAGGAUCUCUGCAAAUCGCCUUUGUUUAUGGGUUGAGCUGACCAAAUAUGUGGACAGGAAGCCUGCCCGAAGGGUAUUCGCGUGGCUCAUCACUUUCCAAUGAAAAGGCUGAAACGGGGCUCCUGGAGCGGGGACCAGGCCUUUUGUGGUUGCACCCCAGCAUUUACCACGGACCUGAUGUGCAGGCUUUGCUGAGGGAAUCAGAACUUUUCCAGCUCCAGUGCUUCCCAGAAGGAAGCCCAUCAGGAUGAUGCUGAUGCAGCUGGCCCGGGAGCCCCACAGUGAGAGCCACUGCCUCAGAGUAAGACCCUACCUUGAGAUGGGUGGCCAGCACAUCCCAACCAGAAGUUCCAGAAUGGACUCCAGGGACACAUUUGCUCCAGCAUUUGAAUUCUGAGAUCUCCCCAUUUUCUUUUCUGCCAAUUUUUUGGCAGUUUCAUAUAAAUAGCAAAUGCACUUUCCUUUUAAGGAAUUUUUUUUUUUCUUUUAGUGAGCAACAGGUGCUUGCUGCAGCUCCACAUGCAACUGUUUGACCUUGACAAGAAAUUCUAUGUCUCUAGGCCUUCAUUUCUUCAUCAAGAAAAUGAGGCGGUUAAAUGAGGAUCAUAAAAUUCUGUGUUUUAGAGCCUACUUUUGAUAUCUCAGGUGAAGACAGAAGCUUGAAAUUACUGAAUCUUGGCUUUUUCAUUAUUUCUUGGUCAUAUCUAUGAUUUAUUGAAGUCAGGAAUGCAACCCCCAACUCUAAGUGAUAGAUGGGAUAAUAAAAUGCUUUUUUGCCCCAGUUUUAUUUAUUGCAAAAACAGUAUUAUAAAAGAGCGAAGACAAUCUGAGAGAUUAAACAUUUUAUUCCGCUCUAACACAACAGCUGUUUUCAUUUUGCUGGGUUCCCUUCACGUUGUGGGUAAUCUUAGAACGGGCGUACAUUUGUAUGCUGCAUCUUAGUGUUUGGCCAUAAACAUGCCACCAGCAAUAUAUAAAUAAAUUAGCUUCACUAUGAAGUCACUACCAUUGGCAUUUAGCGUUGUUUGGCUAAUGUGACAAAUGCAAUUGGUACCUCAUUGAUGUUUUCAGUUGUAAUGUUUUAUUAUUAGAGAUGCUGACCAUUUUUUUCAUGCGUUUGUUUACUGUAUGCAUUUCACCGAGUUUCCUUAUCUGAGGAUUGUCUGUUUAUGAGGAGGCCAUUGAAAAACACCCAGCACUAGGCCUGGCAGCCAAUAACAAUCUCAACAACAGUAGUUUGCCAUCUUCCUGAGCCUCAUGUCUUUGUCUGGGAAAUAGUAAGGCAGUGGGAAGGUUGGAUGAGAUCGUUUGUGAUAAGGGUCUAGCACUGUGUCUGGCGUAUAGAAAGGGUGGUUUCUAGUGUUCUUUACCCAUCUGCCAGGGCUUGAUGUUCUAAAUUUGAUGGAUAUCCACUUUAAUAGUGACGUUUCAUGAACACAUGGGGAAAAAGUGGUGUCUUGUUGAAUUCAGUAGCCCAGUCUUCCAAAUUUGCAAAAUGAGGAUAAUAAUAUAUCUACUCACUGAAUUGUGAUGAUUAAAGAUGAUGAUCCUUGUAAAGCACUUAGCCUUGUGCCUGGCACACAGGAAACCUUCCAUGAAUGUUAGCUUUAUUAUAUGCUUUGUCACAUCUAUAACCAAAGAGGUUAUUAUUUUUAAUCUUAAUGAUCUUUACCAGGUUGCAUUCCAAAAAUGUAAAGUGGAUCUUAUUUACAUUUAGAAGAAUAUUCUGAACUUUGAAUGGAAAGACUUAGUUGCAUUUUGAAAAUCUUAAGCAACACAGUGUACUACUCUUGUUUCUGAAGCUCUUGUUUAAAGAAACAAGGAAAAAGCAUUGUGAAAUAAAGGCAUUUGCAUAGUGUCAAGCAGAAAUAACUAUGGUCAAGGGGAAAACAUAUUUUUAAAAUCCCUAUUUGUUGGUGGCAAAUACUGCUUUGCAGAUAUAUGAACAGAAUCUCUUGAGGGAAUUUCACUCAACAUUACAAAAAAGAUUUACCAGGGAUCUUGUAUUAACCAUGAAGGAUUUAAAAUUGAAGUCAUGUAUACAUACAUAUUUUUUAUAUGUGCCUGAAAAUAGGGGUCUAAGGAGAAGACUUCUCAUUCCCUAUGACACAGCAAAUCAAUAACCACAUCUGUGUGUCUAAAGUGCUUUAUGGUCUGCAAGUCAUUUUCUUAUACGUUUUCCAGUUUGAUUCUCACAAUGAUCCAUGAGGGACAAGAAGCAGGUUUAAUAAUUCUUAUAUUAGAGAUGGGAACACUGACCCACACAGAAUUUCUGGCUUGUUCAAGAUCCUACAGCUACUAGAAAAGCCAGGUCUCUCUGUAGAUCCAUGGGCUCCAGACUUGGGUCUCUGCUCAUCACACUGCAACUAGCUCCACUAAAACUCAUUGCCUAUAACAACCAACGUGUCGUAUGUUCAUAACACAAACAUUAGUCAAACACACCCAGAUCAAUGUAGGUGUGGAAAUAAUAUUUUUGAACCCCAAAACGUAAUUCCCAAUCCAUUUUCAAAAGACAAACCCACGCCAGCAAAGGCAAGAACACACAAAGUGCCACUGAGAAUGAUAAGACUGCCACCCAGCCCACUUCCACCUGGAGCUCACUGCCACCUGGCCCAGUUCCACCUGGAGCUACUCUGUGAUUCAUUUGGCCAUGUCACAGUGCACACUCCUUUGUUUUCAGGAACUUAGAGAUCUCUUAAAUAAGCACGGGGUGUGUUUGUUAAAGAUGCUGAUAUGGUAAAGGAACAGUACACAAAUCCAUGUCCUGGGAGGACGUCCCACAGGUGAGGACUUGCAAGGUCUCCAACUGGAUUCCCUUCUUAUAGAGCUGGCAGAAUGGGCCUUGGAAAGUCACCUUACAGAUAUGGAAGAAAGGCAUGCCAGGCACUAUUCCCUCCUCCCUACCAUAGUUGAUGUUUAUGAAGGUUCUUCUGGGCAAGUGACCUAGAAUAACCCCAUGAAACUAGCACUGAAGCUUCCAGAUGAUGUGGUAAGAUUACAAAUGCUAGCUGCUUCAGGCAAGGUUAGACAAAUAGCCUUCUUAGAUAUACAUGGUAAAUACUGAUAAUUGUGUGUUCACGUAUGUUUUAUGUCAUAGGCAGAGUUCAUUCCUGCUGCGGAGUUGUCCUUGCCUAGAAAGAUACCAUUGGCCACUCUCUGUUGUCACUGCUGCUUUUCUCCUCCCACAUCCACUGCGGUAUCUAAAAACCCCUGGACUGUGGGUCAAGAGACUGGGUGGGAGACACGUUCCAAUGCCCAUAGUCGUGUGGUCAUGGACAAGGCAGUUUCCAUCUCCCAGCUCUGCUUCCUUAACAGUGAAGUGGAGAUAGCCAUGUUUGUUCUUCCUACACAGGUAAGUGAGGCAAAGGUGGUAAUGUAUGUGAAAGAGUGUUGACAAUCCGAAGGACCUAAUUUCUUUUCUGGAAAUUGUUUUCAUUUGAUGUUUUUCAAAUUAUGAACACAUAACAUAUUAGUUGUUAUAGGCAAAACAGUUCAAAGACAUAUAGAGAAAAUUCCCACCAUCAUUAACUUCUAAUCUUACCUUCCCGAGAUAUCCAAAGUCUACACACAACUGUUCACGAUGCUCAUACAAGCACAGGCAAGCAAAUAUACACAGAAACUGGGGUUUGGGUUUAUUUCUUUUUACUGAAACAGGGUCAUACUAUUGUAGGAGUUAUUAAGAAAUUAUUUUAGGCAGAUAGGAAAAAGAGUCCUUGAAAAAUUUUCAUUUUUAAAGCAGCUCUUAGCGCCAGGCCCACAACCUUUGAUAUGCAAAUGCAGGCCAUUAGAAACUGGGUCUACCCAAACAUGGCGAUUCCCCUGGCCUUCUUGCCCUUGCCCCACAUGUUCCUGGCUUCAUGGCUGCCCCCACAUACCCCUACCUGUGUAGAACAUCAUGGCGCCCUGCAUUUGCAUAUUAAAAGGCUAGGGUGGGAGGGCCAGCUUUUCCGCGGGCUACAUGAAUGACAUGCCUGCUCAAACCAAUCCCCUGAGCCCUGUGCAAAUCAGACCCCGCCUCCUCCAGCCUCUAUAUAUACCCGGCUGGUUUCCACCGUACUUGGGGUUCCCUCUCUCGGCUUUGGAGCCCCCUCCCUCUGUCUCUGUACAGGGGAUCUUCUUCCUUUUUUCUUGCCUGUUAAAUUCUCUGCUCCUUAAAACCACUCCACGUGUGUCCUUGUUGUUUCAUCGAAUUCAACACGAGACAAGAGCCCUGGUGUUCCUCCACUCAUCGGAGCCGUAUCGUUACCAAACGCAUGGCUCUGCAACUUGCUUUUUUAUUUUAUGAUAAAGCACAAACAUCUCUGCAAAGUUGUGGAUUUUAAACUUAGUUUUUGUUUCCUUAAUUUCUUUAUACACACACACACACACACCUGUGUGUAUGUCAGUUACAUAUGGAAUCAUUAAAAAAAAAAAAUUCCUCCCCUCCCCAGCUACCCCUAAUUCCAUAAUCCCAUUACCCUUUCCAAUGUAUCUUUCAUACUUUCCUCCAUGUUCAUAUAAUCAUAUAAAAUAUUUAUGCACAUAUACACUUCUGCAAGGUUUUUUAAAAACGUGUUUCAAAAAUGCAGUGGAACACAUACUAUUCUUAUAUCAAUCAAUGAAACCAAAUGAAAACACCUGUAAUUUAACUGGAAUGGUGCAUGAUUUUUAAUGCCUAUUAUUUUAUGGGGUGAAGGCAGUUUUGUCUGGUAAAGAUAGAACACCCAGCUCUCUCAGGAAAAGCCCUGACUGCUAGUGUUUGCUGACAUCCAUGCCCUAAACGUUCCCACCAUGGCUCAUUUCAAACUACCAGUGUGAUGGCUGGGUGGAGCCGAGUUGAGAAGAGUUCCGUGCAGGAUCUCUGGAGACACCUCCAGCAAACUACUGGGAGGAAGUUUCGUGAUGAAUUCACGUUCUCUCUAUUGAUGGACAUUCACUUUGUUUCUAGAUUUUCUUCCUCCACUACGAAGAGUGAUAUAUUACAGCAACCUUAUAACUACAUUCUUCAAAUUGGUUCUUUUAUUUCUAACAGCUAGAUUCCUCAGGAGUGAGAUUGUUGAUUCAUAAAGAAUGCAGAUUAAAAAAAAUUAGUAAGUGCUGCCAGAUUGUUUUUCAAACAGCUUUCU